AGCCACGGCCCGCCGCUGCUAAUUCCGCCCAGGUGUGCAGAAGGUAACAAUGUCAGAGAACAGCGUGUCAACAUUUUUUCUAUCAAAACACUGAAAAACAGACGAAAGGAGAUCGAUAUAAAGCGAGGACAACAUCCUGAAACACAGCGCAGCAUGACUUUUGAGGUGAGUAAAAGAGAAGCGAACAGAAACACGAAGUGGAUAAUGCUAAUGCUAACAGGCUAACCGCGCUCGUAUUUACUUUGUUUGGGGGCGUGACGACGAAAAAGUGAAGCUUGCUCUGAUUGGAUAAACAUGGGUCUAACUUUUUGGUAUAAUAAUAAUGUCAUAGUAUAGUACAAUAAAAAAAAGUCAUAGUAUCGUAGGAUAAAAACGUCAUAGUAUAAUACAUGAAAAAAAGCUCAUAGUGUAGUAUGUCAAACAGUGUCAUAAUUUAGUGUGUGAAAAAAUGUGAUAGUAUAGUAUGAUAAAAAAUUUCAUCACUAAGUAUGUUAAAUUUUUUUUUUCCUUAAGUGUAAUGCAUAUUAAGACGAUUGUAAGAAACGAUAAAAGAACCACAAUAAACACUGGAGUUAAAGGUCCCAGGUUUUAUUAAUGUAAUAGACACAAGAAUAAGGACACCAAACACAGCUGAAGGUUUAAUCAUUCACUUACAAAUAUUUAUAGACUAAUAUUCUCUGACAGUCACGCCAAAAUAAGUGCAAACAGAUCUCAAGCACAAAUGCAGUAAAACUUUGGACUUAUUUUUACUGUUUUAAAAGACAUCAGGGUAAAAACAACUUCUUGAUCAGUAAAGUAGCCUGAGAGCUUCUCUGAGCUCUCAUCACAGACCAGUUUGGCAUCCUCAGCCACAGAUUUUUUGUCUUUUGUUGGGUUAAAUAUGAAAAACUAAUUGUCUCUCUUCUUUUCUUUCAGGACUCAUCGCCGGCAGAUCCUGGAGUUGCCUCCCGGAAAUAGAGUCUGAAUUAGUUGUUUCACCUUUUCCUUGAGUGUUUAAAGACUUAUGUCACGAUUAAGAGUGAAGAUUUGAGACACUUAAAUUAUCACUUAAAAGCUUUUAGGUAUCAUUAGUCAGCAAGUAAUUUAAAAUAGUUUAGAUUGAACCAUUUUCUAGUUGAAGUUAUCUUUAGACUUUAAAUCUUUGCUUUUGAAUGGAGAUGUUGGUGCAUUUACGUGAUGUCUGGCAUUUCCAGGGAGGGUCU